GGGGCCAGAGGGUUAGAGCGGAGCCCUGAACCUGGCUGUGAGGUGCAUCAGUCCGGAGGUGGGGGUUCAAUGGGAGACGCUUGUAUGCAGCAUCCUGGAGCGCCUGCCUGGAGGAAGAAGGCAUCCAGAGGCUCUGCAUAUACUUGCAGAACGUGCAGGCGCCACUUACCUUGCAGACGCCACUUCAGGUAAGGUCUGGAGAGGUAAUUGUGUCCCCCAGGAAUCACCCAGCGCGAGGAAUGAGGAGGGGUUUGGACCUCUAAAUCCCUCCGUGGGGCCCUGUGAGGUGCGGGAGCAACGAAAAUGGGUCUCCUCCCUGACCUAGUAGAGGAGAUGCCGGACUAAACCGUUCAAGACCCUUUACUUGUAGGAGGUGUACUCUGAGUGCUCCUUAACAGGACACAGGUUCCCUUUUCAGGCCCUUUCCCAGAGCUAGCUGGACGCCAUAAAGCACUACUGACCCUAAUUGUUUUAUGAGCCUUAAUCCCCAGGACUAGAAAGUUACUAGAAGCGCCCCCCAAGGCACCGAGGCUCCAGGAACUUACAAAACAGGACAUACCCGACCACGACGACCCGGACCUGACCCUGCACCGAGAUAACGUGGAAACAAGUCGCAGCCUAACUGAAACACCCUGCUCUACAACUACCCCAUUACCGAUCAGACGAUCCCCGCUCCUCAGGGCGCACAUAUCCGCACACAGCCCUUUCCCUCUCUUGGGAAAGUAAACAAAAAAUCUUGGCUCUCUGACAGAAAACUACUUGAACAGCGUUCAAAUUUUUUUAAUUGUUUUAAAAUCUCUGCUCUCUGCACUUUCUUCUCUUUGUGAAUUCUUUCACAGCCCACAUUGAUAGAAGACUCAAGACUUGGAAAAUUUUAGCUUAAGGGAGAAUGGACCACCACCCUCCCCUGGGAACAGCUAACUGCCCAGGACAGGAAUGCUGGAGCUUCACUCAUCUAAUCCUACCUGAAUUUCAAAGCCCUCACCGCUCCUUGUUUAUCCACUCACCACCACCUUAUAAAAUUCUGGCCAGGGAAGAGAAGGGAAGAUGGUCUUGUUAGUGUAUGAACCCACCAUCUUCUCAGCUCGCUGGCCAUCUGA